ensembl:lncRNA
AUGGGAUCAGUUGCACUGGUCCUGGAGGGGCCAUGGAUCACCUUUAUUAGUUAAGACUCUUUUAAACUGUUCUUCUGGCUUAUGUGGUGCUAUGUAAGAGAAAGAAUAUCAGCUCUGAAGUCAGAAAUAUUUGAGUUUGGGUUCAGCUUCUGCCCCUCUCUAGCUGUGUGAACUUGGGUGAAGCACACAUUUCAUUUUCAGAACACUGAGAGAGUAAGGGCUGCAUUUUUUCAAAUUUUCCAUCGGGUGAGAAAACAUCCCCAGUGGUUGCUCGUGUGUAAAAAUAGACCACCUCUGAGUACGUGGUUUUACUUCAAUUGCCAUGAGACAUUAUGAACAAAAACAAAAAUUCUAAAAAAUAAAUGCCACUUCUUUCAAUGACUGAAUGAUGAGUACAAUAUAUACUGAUUCUGUGCGUGUGUUAUUGCAGAACAAUAAAGAACCCUCAACUCAGUCUGUUUCCUUUGCUGUGAAUGCACAGCUGGAAGAGGUCUUAGGAGCUUCCUCAUCUACCUCUUCCAUUGUACAAAUAAGCAAACUGAGGGUCUGGAGCACAUUUAAACUGUACUUAAGAAAGAAAGGAGACAGGAUCUCUCUUGACUCUUUGUUGAGCACAGUCUCACUAAUCUGGAGGUCUUCACAAAGCAGUGGCCAAAAGCAGGACCAGAUGAUGAGUGAAGAAUCAGGGUGUCUAGUCAGUAUUUAUGGACAGCUCCUACUAUCUUCUAUAACAGUUGUAUGAUUAAAAAGUGGCAUGAAAUGGUUCCGGCACUGGAAGAUACAAAAAUAUCAUGUGCCUAGAAUCAGCUUGUACAGUGAAAAGUGCAGACCCCAGAAUCAGGUAGAACUGAAGAGUGAAUGACUUCUCCUUCACCUGUACGACCUUGGGCAAGCUACCGCGCCUUUCUGACACUCCGCUUAUCCAUAAAUCGGAGUUAAAAAUACCUGCUUCAUGGAAGUGCAGUGCAGCCUAAGUGAAAUAGCAUGCAGAUGGCAGUCUUUCCCUGUGGUUAGCCCACCUUUGGUGUCACCUGCCCUGGACCAGCGGAAGAGAAAUCACCUUUAGUUAUUAUGUCACAAUGACAUACAUGUUUGUUGAACUGUAACAAUAUCAUCCAUUAGCCUAUCAGGGGCUGGAAGCAUUUUGGACUCAAGCAAUGAAGAGUUUUUAUUUUCUCAUUUAAUUUUUUAUUUUUAAAUCUCCAUCUCAGUUUCUAAAAUGUAUAACUGGAAAAUAAAGGAGAAAACAAGGAAGACACGCAGGGAAUAUAAAUAUGCAUUUGUGGUAAAAUUAUUUGUUCUUGCAAGAGAAGACAAAUCACUCCUGGUGUCAAUGUGAGGUUAUGAUUUCACUCCAUAGUUUAGAAUGAAAAGAAAGGCAUGUGGUUUGUGGUGUAUAUUUGUGCAGAUGUGUGUGAAACAACGUGUUUUUUAAUCACUCCUGCUUCUAGAGCAAACAGUCAUUCUGUCCAGCCGUUGGUGCCAGCCUUGGGCUGGUUAGCUAAGGGCAGAUUUUAUGAAACCAGAGCCAAACAAGCUUAACUCAUAUGAGAUAAGUUCUCUUCCAUUUCUAAAACUGGGAAAGUAAGAAAAUAAAUUGCAUGCAAAAGGAAAAUAAAUUGCAUGCAAAAGUCCAUGUAUCCUUGGAUGUUUCUCAAACUAUCUUUGUGUUUUAAAUCUACUUUCUCCUUUUAAUAGAGAUCAGUAGUUUAUUCUCAAAAGGAUGUUCCUUAAAGGGAGCAAUAUUACCAGCCCUCCUUUCUCAGCAAAUCCUCAAUUUAUUACGGGGAAACUGAUCACCUCUCUGCAAGCUUGUUUCUGACUCUCGUACUUCAAAUUAGUUUAUUGAAACUGUUGGGCUGCAUGCUGUAUUUCAAUAAGAGCAUUUACGCUCAGAGCUGGUGGCUCUUCCCGAAGGAGGGGCUCUGAGCUAGAAGCCUUCCCAGGAGAUUGAAGCUUAGCCUGCUUCUGUCUCUCACAGAGACCGUUGUUGUCAUCAGGCCCUUUGCCACCAGGAAAACAAAAAUUACCCAGUUUUGGGGCUGGCCCCAUGGCCGAGUGGUUAAAGUUUUGUGCACUCCACACUGUGGCCUGGGGUUCACAGGUUCAGAUCCUGGGUGUGGACCUACUCCACUCGUCAGCCAUGCUGUGGAGGUGACCCACAUUCACCGUAGAAGAAGACUGGCACAGAUGUUAGCUCAGGGCUAAUCUUCCUCAAGCAACAAAAGAGGAUUGGCAACGGAUGUUAGCUCAGGGCAAAUCUUCCUCACAAAAAAUAAAUGAAUAAGGGGCCAGCCCGGUGGCUCAGUGGUUGUGUUCGCAUGUUCCACUUUGGUGGCCCAGGGUUCACUGGUUCAGAUCUCUGGUGCAGACCUACACACUGCUUGUCAAGCCAUGCUGUGGCAGAUGUCCUACAUAUAAAGUGGAGGAAGAUGGGCACGGAUGUUGGCUCAGGGCCAAUCUUCCUUGGCAAAAAGAGGAGGAUUGGUCAUGGAUGUUAGCUCAGGGCUAAUCUUCCUCAAAAAAAAAUAAAGAGAAAAGAAAAAAAAUGAAUGAAGGAAUGAAUAAAAAAUAAAUAAAAAUCAUUAUUAAAAAUCACCCAGUUUUUUUUCACUUUAAUUAUUGAGGAUUUGGGGGCCUAUGUUGAAAUUUAUGCAGCUUUUAAAUACAAAAAGCCAUCUUAAUGUGUGUAUAUUAAAUAGUAGCUAUUUCUCAGGAAACAGUCAGUGACAAAAGAUGCCCAACUAAUAGAAUUAGGGAAAAAAGAAGCAAAGUUUGAUCCCAAACAGUUAUUUAAUAGCUUUAUGCAAAACAGUACAGUUUCACAGUUUGAGUAGAAAAGAUGUUAUUAUUACAUUUUGAAAAUCUUAUAUGCAAAGAAUUUUACAACAACACAGUAGUGUCUAGAAUAGAUUUUAAAAGAUUUUUAUACUAGACUUUUUCUUAUGGACUCUGCUAAUACCCUAAAUGUGACGUUACUAACGCACACGUCAGGAUUUACAGGGUGAAAGAAGAGAAAGAUGCUUAGGCCCCCUCCUUUAUUCACCCUCUGUCCAGUUUAGAAACGACUGAGUACUCAGGUACCUAAAUGAGCAAGUACUCAGGUGUCUAACUUUUAGGCCAGGUGGGAAAGCGAGCAGAUGAUAACGAAAGAAGAGGCAAGAGAAAGAUGAUGGGAAUGGUGACGACGGUCCAGAGACGUGACAACUGCAGGAUGAGGCAGAGGGAGAGCUGCGGGCUCCCCGGAGGAGGGCUGCCCUGAUGAGCUGCCAGCAUUUGAGAAACACCGACGGCCGAGCUUCUCUGGCAACCGCAGUGCAGCAAUAUUCCCAUCAAAAGCCCCAACAGUUAUCCCAGCAUCGAUGCACAGUCAAAUAUUCACACUGCGUUUUGCAUGGGCUUGAAUGUUCAAUGCCAGCGAUGGGUACAAUGGAGAAAGGUCAGCCCUGAGCUAACAUCUGCUGUCAAUCCUCCUCUUUUUGCUGAGGAAGACUGGCCCUGAGCUAACAUCCGUGCCCAUCUUCCUGUACUUUAUAUGUGGGACGCCUACCACAGCAUGGCGUGCCAAGCAGUGCCAUGUCCGCACCCAGGAUCCGAACCAGCGAACCCAGGCCUCCGAAGCGGAAUGUGGGAACUUCACUGUUGCACCACCUGGCCAGCCCCUAGAAUGACACUUUUUUUCUCCUCUUUUCCAUCACAUGACUUAAAGUGCCACAUCUUUGCCCCUGAAUUUCUCUUAAAAGGUGCCAUUAAAGUAUUGGCAUGUACAUUUAAAAAGCAUCAUUGUUUGUUUAUUGAUCAUUCUGAAAGUCAUAGGUGUCAUAAUUUGUGGAGUCAAAUAAACAAGUUCUAUGUGGCUUCCCAUCUCUUCAAGUUC